rnacentral:lncRNA from 1 species
GAUCACAAGCACAUGGGCCUGGGUGGGGAUGAUAGUUGGUCGCCCUGCGUCCAGCACGAGUAUCGGGUUCAUGCUGAUCCAUACUCAUUUUCAAUUAGGCUGUGCCCGAUAACCCCUGCAACCUCUGGCCAAGUCAUGUACAAAACUCAACUUCAAAAGUAGUAGACAUGAUGGGCUCGAGAACUUGGUAAUGAGUACUGAGUGAUUGACAAUGUAUGUGGCCAUGAAUAAGAUGGCUAGCUCAUUUGCAACAAAUAAUAUAAAGGCAAAACUUAUCAGUCUGUAAUAUUCUGAUUAUGAAACAUUUGUAUUUAAUAGUGCUUUUGUCUGAAGCAUUUUAGUGGUGGAUCAUGCCUACUACAAUCAAUCUAAGAAAUUUAGUACUUUCCCUCCUAUUUGUCACUUUACUUAACAUGCCUACUAAAGUCAGUCCUAAAGAUACUGCAGUCAAAUUUAUGAUUGAGUGUGCUCUGCCUCCUUAUAUUUUUUGGCAAUAUUUUCAUGUAGUUUUAUUUAAGUAUGUAUGUAGGAAUGUCAUGUAUUGCCCACUCCUUUAGUCCAUGUUGAUUCAUCAUAUUCUGGAAAGUGAAUAAGUAAACAGAAUUCAUUUAUUUCUUUAAAUGCCUUCCGCAAGUUGCUACCUAGAAUAAGUGUUGCCUUUGCUGAAAUAUUUUUAUUACUGUGUAGCUCCUUGAUGCAUAAUUUGGGGUAACUAUGCAACCUUCCGGUUUAAUAUUAGUUAGAUAUCCGAUGGGUGAUCCGGUCAAAGAGGGUCAACAGCUCCAGAACAAAAUUGGUGAAGCUUUACCACCUACGUAGCAUUUUGUUUUUAUCAAACUUGUUGAUUUAGCUAAAUCAUUGAGAGAGAGAGAGAGAGAGAGAGAGAGAGAGAGAGAGAGAGAGAGAGAGAGAGAGAGAGAGAGAGAGAGAGAGUUUGACAUAUUAUGUGGUCUCCAUGUCAUUGACAAAAGAAAUUGGAUUUGGCAUGUAUUAUAUAUAUUGCUUUCGUUUUUUAGUGGUAUAAAACUAAUGUGUGACAGUGUGUUUGGUGUAAUAUUUAUGUAUUCUUACGUCGCAGAUAUAACAAUCAGCUUUCUGGUUUUUUCUUUGAAUCGAUAAUUGCAGUUUUAGUUAAAGGAGGGGAGGUGGAAACACAAUAACGUGAUAUCUUGGCCAGAAAAAAAAACCAGUAACUUGAUAAGAGAAACACCGCCAGUACAAAGUCCACCAUAGUAAUGUAGAUCAUCCCUGUUGUUACCAUACCAUGUAAAUGCUUUUCUUAUUCGAUCUGGAAGUCUGCAUGCCUUCUGGAUUUAAGAGCCCUAGAGAUCGUGAAAAUUUCCAACUCAAAUGAAUUCAUAAAUCAAAAUUAAGUUGUUUACAUGGCAUAAUCAUAUACAAUGUUUACUUUGUUGACAUCCAUUUCCCCUAUUGUGUUUGAAAGUUUACCUGUGGCUCCACAUUAGAACUAUAAAGACAGCCUACUUAACAAUUUAAGCUUACUUGUUUGCAGUGAACAUUGCUCCUUUUAUCAUUCCUGUGCAGAAAAAAGAUCCGACUCCCCAUGCUUGAUGUUCUUCCUUCAAGCAACUGAUGAUUUGGAGACCACUACCACUUUGCAAUACUAUGCGGACUUGAUUUGCCCUGUUCUUUUAGAAACAAUAAUAAAAGGUAGCUUUAGAGUUAUAUGUAAAGAGUGCAAAACUAAUUUAAUAUUUGAGUUCCCUUUGUUUCCAAUGGAUGUUGCUCUUUUCAUUUGUUUUGCAACUCACAUAUAUAACAGAAAUGUUCCUAGCUAUUAUAUGCAAUUUGUAUGUUAUGAUUAUGGCUGUUUGUUCACAGUCUCUCUCUCUCUCUCUCUCUCUCUCUCUCUCCCCACUUCUGUGUUGUACGUAUCCCCUUUUUAUUAAAGUUGCUGUCGAAGGUUUAUCUUUAGUUUUUUCUCAGAAGUGGACUCCUUAUUUACCAUCUUUCUACUCUUUUCUUUUUAAAGAAAAAUUUAGUUUCUUAUUAAAAAUAUAAAAAAAAGUAUUGGAAAGUCUUAGUACUGAUUAUUGGAAAGUCUAGCUUGUCAGUUGUUGUAUGGGUUGGAAUUUAAAUUAGGAGAGACUUAAUGAAGCUGAAAUAGGGGAGUUUUCCUCUCUUUAUUUAUUUGAUUGAAAAUCCUUCAUUGUGUCCGGACCAGGGUGAUAGAAGGGCUUGGAAAUUUGAAUAUUCUAAAUCCUUUUUAUUUUUCUUGCAACUCCUGUCUUUACCUUUUUUCAACCGAUCCCAAUUGAUAUGAAAGACUAAGGGCCCUAGUAAAUCCUUGUUUGGUUAGGUGCUCAUGGGAUGGUCGUUACUUGUGACAAUAUCCAACUUAAGAGGCCAAAUAUGUGCCUAUCAGCCGAUUGGUGUUAAAUGUGCAUGAAUGCAGAACAUAUUGACCAUCUAUUUCUAGAUUGAGUUCAUGUAUAGUCAUUAGUUGAAAAUGUGGCUUUAGGGAAAAGCAGGAAGGCUAAAUCUUAGGGGCGGAGGAGUGGUCUUAAUGGAUAGGGUGGUGUUUUGGACAAUUUGGGCAUCAGUAGUUGCUGAGUUUAGAGAUAUUCGUUUCAUUGUCCUUAAUUUAGUUCGGGUUGCUGCAGUUAGCUGAUCUUUAGAGUUUUGGCGCUGGUGAUCGAAGCAUUUUUUUUAUAUAUUUUGUGUUAUUGUUGCUUUGUCUAAAUGGUGUACUUCUUGUUUAAUGCUGGACAAUAUUUUGUAACUUUUCUUUUAGUAAUGCCUUCAUUUUUAUAAAAGCUUUUUAAUUUGGUUCUCAUAUGAAUCAUGUCUUUCUAAUGGACAGGUGACCCUCGUAUUGGCUCAGCCAAUAUCAUUUGGAUUGAUCCAGAUACAACAACUUGGAUUAGAAGCCCAAACAAAUCUCACAAGGGUGAAUGAGCCUUGGAUGUUGUUCUGGAGAAAUCAGUCAUCAAGCAAAGUGGUGAUGCAUGGAGAACAGUGCUCGAUUCUUGCCUUCCAGUGCUUCACCUAAUUGACACCAGACGUUCCAUCCCGUAUGCCAUCAAACAAAUUCAAGAAUUGUUGGGGGUGUCUUGUGCUUUUGAUCAAGCAGUUCAGGUACUGUCAUACAGGCUCACAGUUUAGUUGUUUCUAGUAGAGGUGGUAAUAAGGUUGGGGGAUAUCAUGAUUUGGUGGUGUCAUAUGGCAACAUAACCUAAAAAAUAUAGUUUUUUGAGCUGUAUGACUUGAUUCAAAUUUUAUAUUAGUCGUUGUACGUUUGGGUAGAGACAGAGUAAACUGUAAUUUAACUCUAGGAAUUUCUUUAUUUCAAAGCCAUAUCCAUUACUCGAUCCAUCUUCUGUCAAAUGAAAAUGCACUCCAUCCAUGUGUUAGAAGGCCUAAGAAAGAAGAAACAAAUUUUCUGAUUCUAGAAAGAUUCAUACCAUACCAAUCAAGAAGUAAACAGAAAAAAGUCUGAAAUUUUCUCAUGCAAAUGUUGAACAGUCUGUUUUGUCAAAAUCUGGUGUUUCUGGUGUUUAGUCUAAUAUGUUCCAACUUAGUCUAUCCAAUUUUCCAAUUUACAAAUGGAUCAACCUUUUUAUCGUUCUUGUUACCAAGUAGGGUAAAUUCAAGUAAUAGUGACAUUUUUGUGUUGGGAUGAUAUUCUGUUGCUGCAUUGCUUAGAAAAUUAUCAGUCUUGGUUUCCAGUAGCUUCUAUUAUAUCCGUGUAAUACGCUUCUCUCCCGUUGGAGUGUUUGACUUUCUGGACAUCUCAUUCUUCAUACAAUUUAAUUCUUCACUACCCUUUCUUUCUAGUGGGAGUGCUUUAGCGCAUCAGUUGUGUUUAAAAUUGUAUGUUUCAUAUGCUUAUUAGAGGGAUUCAAAUGACUAAUCUUCAUUAGCUGUGGACCUCCUUUUAAAAUUUCGAUCUUUGCGUAAUUGUGUGGCUGUAUUUCUGGUUCCCUCUGGCAUGCUACCGUACAUCUUAUGAAAUUUAACUUUUCUAGUUGUCAAUGAAAAUUGGAACAUAUUAGACUAAGUUUCUGGGUGAUAUGAGAUACUUAUUCUACUUUUCAAUUAAGAAUACAUUUUAUGAUUGAUUACGCAGCGCCUCUCAACGGCAGUGACAAUGAUGGCAAAAGGUGUUCUGAAAGAGCAUCUUAUCCUCCUGGCAAAUAGCAUGACAUGUGCAGGAAAUUUCGUGGGAUUCAAUUCGAAUGGGUACAAAGCACUAUCUCGGGCAUUGAAUAUUCAAGUACCAUUUACGGAAGCAACACUGUUUGUAAGUAAUUGAAAUUUUUGUCUAAUUCUGUGAAAGGGCAUUUACUUAUAGUUACUGGUUAAGAUGAAUUACAAUCACAACUGAUUUCAGUACUCACAUGUGGUUGUAGACACCAAGAAAGUGUUUUGAGAGAGCAGCUGAAAAGUGCCACAUGGAUUCGUUGGCGAGCAUAGUUGCAUCAUGUUCCUGGGGUAAACAUGUUGCUGUGGGUACUGGCGCGAGGUUUGAUGUCCUGUGGGACACAAGAGAGGUAUUUCAUAAUUUUUAAUGCACUUGUGAAUUCUCAGUCGUAUUAAAUUUAGUCUUAUCUGCUGCUAAUGUUUCGCACCAUUUAAAUCUUAAUUUUUUUCUAGGUAGAAUUGACUCAAGAGGGUGGACUUGAUGUUUUCAACUUUCUGCAUAUGGUGAGCACUGCAAACGUAGAAGAAGCAACUACAGGAGCUCUCGGUGCUGAAGUUGAUGAUCUAAUGCUAGUUGAUGAAAUGGCAGAUUCAAGCUUCUCGCCAGAACUCAACUCCAGUUUUGAUAGGCCCGUCUUCGAAGAUCUUGUUGAAUUUGAUGAUAAAUUAGGAGAUCUUCCCGAAAAAUCAAACUGGGAAAAGGAUUCCUCCUUCCACACCGAUUCUAAUGGGGGGAAAGACUGGAGCGUCGACAAAAAUGUGGGAACUGUGGCAGUACCUGACGUUUGGUCAAGCUGGGGUACAGAUAAAGGGUAAACACAAGAUAGCAACUCAGCAGAAGCCCAGUUGGAUUCCAAGAAAUCCAGUGUUUUGGAUACCUCGUCUGCGUGGGGGAAAAACCCAGCAAAAGAAAAUACGACAUCUACAUGGGGGACAACUACGGCAAGUGAAAAUGAUUGGUGUGGUAGAGGGGUAGGUGAGGAUGAUUUUGUAAGCUUGUCUGGGAAGAAAUCUGGUGUUUUGAAUACCUCAUCUGCGUGGGCGACAAAUACUGCCAGAGAAGAUGCUGCAUCUGCCUGGGGAACAAAUCCAGCAAAAGAAAAUACCACAUCUACAUGGGGCACAACUACGGCAAGUGAAAAUGAUUGGUGUGGUAGAUGGGUAGGUCAGGAUGAUUCUGCAAGCUUGUCUGUGAAGAAAUCCAGUGUUUUGGAUACCUCGUCUGCGUGGGCGACAAAUACUGCCAGAGAAGAUGCUGCAUCUGCCUGCGGGAAACAGCCAGCAAAAGAAAAUGCCACAUCUACAUGGGGCACAACUUUGGCAAGUGAAAAUGAUUGGUGUGGUAGAGGAGUAGGUCAUGAUGAUUCUGCAAGCUUGUCUGGGAAGAAAUCCAGUGUUUUAAAUACCUCAUCUGUGUGGGCGACAAAUACUGCCAGAGAAGAUGCUACAUCUGCCUGGGGGGAAAAUCCAGCAAAAGAAAAUACCACAUCUACAUGGGGGACAACUACGGCAAGUGAAAAUGAUUGGUGUGGUAGAGAGGCAGGUAAAGUUGAACCAGUAGACUUCCAGCCUACAAAACCCCAGGAUGAUUCUGCAAGCUUGUCUGGGUGGGAUUCACCUACCGGAGAUGGGAAUUCUGGUGAACGAAAUCAUCAGUGGGGACAGCAUCGUGGAGACCAAACAAAGAAAAGUCGUUUUGAAGGUGCAAGGAAUUGGGUUUCAAGUCCUGGGGAAUGGAAGAAUAAGAACCGUCCUCCUAAGUCGCCUGGAAUGGUGAAUGACAAUUCUACCAUGGGUGCAUUAUAUACUGUAACAAGACCGAGAUUGGAUAUGUUCACUUCCGAGGAGCAUGUUCUUUCUAAUAUUGAGCCAGUUAUGCGCUCCCUCCGAAGGAUAAUGCAUCAAUCUGGGUAUGUUUUCUAUCUAUGUACUUUCUUAACAAUUCGGACCAGGCAGAUCAAAAUAAUGGAUACUUUUCAAUUUUCUAAAGGAGAAAUGAUUCUUAUAUAGGAAGACCAGAUGUUUUUUGUCUUGCUAAGUGUCUUAUAAGUAAGAGUCCAUUUGAAGUCAGGGGAAUACUUUUAGUUUAGAGUGACAAGAAACUAAUGAUUUGAAUAAUUAUUUAUUAGUGUGCAAUGUUCUUUUGGUGAUUUGGAUGGAAAGGAACGGUUUUGCUCAAAGCCAAAGUUGGGCAGUUUGUCGACUAUUUAUGAGAUAUGGCUAGACUUUGGGCCUCUCUAUGGGCUUCAGUCUCAUCUGUAUCAUGAUUGCCCAUUCUUUCUCUUAAAUUUGGAAAGGGAAGCAAGCUGCUAUAUCGUAGUUGCCCUGAUUGUACUUUGGGGCUUUUGCUCUGUUUUCUGCAUUGUUGGACGCUGUACUGUCAUACUUUUCUUUUGGUUUCUAUAAAUUGUAGGCUUUGUGCAGUGUAUUUUCUGGUCUUCUAGUCCACUUUGAUUGUACUUCCCAUUCAUAUUAAUUUGCAUGUUGAAGUCUGAAGUCUAUUUUUACAUAAAAUUAAUUAUAACAACUAUAAAAGAAAGACAUCUAAUAAAGUGAUGAAUUUUACAUAUUACAUUGGACUUUCCUUUGGAGAUGUCUUAGGGAUAUCAUAUCUUCACUGAUCUCCAUAUGAAACAAUUGAUUUCAUUUUUGGACAUUAUCCAGUCACUUUGCAUAUGUUAUAGCUUCGUGCCGUGUUGUGCAACUGUUUGAUAUUUCCUUCCUUUUUUGAAUAUUUUAAUUGUAGCAAUAUCUUUGCAUGGUGUUCGACAAUGCUGUAACUUAAUUUCUGGUUUUUAAAUUAUUUUAUGCAGGUACAAUGAUGGGGAUCCACUGUCAGGUGACGAUGAAUCGUUUGUACUUGAUAAUGUCUUCAAUUACCACCGGAUAAAGCAGCUAAAAUGGGUUGUGGAAUUGAUCAUCUCACAGUAUGUUCAUCUACCCUGUUCUUGCUUAACUACGUUUUAUUUGGAAUUAUAUUUCUGUACACAUUUGAUACAUUGGAUUAAGAAUCUGUGACUGAUGAUUUUAUUGUUAUACUGAUUAUUCUAAUAUUCAUUUUAUUUUUUAUGGAAGCUGGACAUUUAUACAGAUUUUCCUAGAUUGUCCAUUGAGUAUAAACUCCAGGUGUAUUGUUGCAUACCUAAAUUUGUUCUGGAGCUCAAUGGAAAUUUUGAAACCUUUUUUUAUGUCAAUAUUUAUCAUUAGCAAAGAGCUGUUGCACAUAGGGAGUUGAUUCAAAUGGGGUUUAGUCAGAAAAAAUCAUUUUCAUGUCUUUUGGUUUAGAUACUCACGCAUGGUACCAGGCUGCUAAGGUUGGUGAUCUAGUUCUUCAGAUAAGGGGAAUAAAUACUCGUCUUUAAACAUGAAUUAAGACUAUGGUUCAUUUGAAGGGGUUUUUAAGUCUGGGGACAAGUAGUGAUUGGGAAGAGGUUUUCUUUCUUAGUACUUGGAAAACAUAUCAAGGCUGGAAUGUCCGGUAUUGUUUACCUUUUUUGCAGGAACCACUGUCUUGUAAUAACUGCCAAUAUGUGUCUUAUUUUGUAAAAUAUUCCACUAAUUUACACCGCUAUUGGUAUGACAGGUUAAUAGGCAUGGUAGUUUCCAGGACAGCAGAUGCUUCUUUGUUGUGUCAACAGACAGUCGUACGGAAGAUUUUUCAUAUUGGAAUAUGUAAAAUAAUUAACUGCUGUCCUCGUCUUCUUACAGCUGCUGGAAACUCUUCAUCUUCCAACAGUUGUAUUGUCUUGGUACUGUAAAAGCCUUUAUUAAUUCUAACGACUGUAAAAGGCUUGCCUAUAUAUGCAGCCUGUUGUACUGAUAUCUAUAUGAUGAAUAAGAAUCUCAAACUCCACCGGGGAUGUAGGCUCAAAAUUGCCGAACCUCGGUAAACUUGUGGUGUUCUGUUUUCUUCUUUCUCUGAUUUCUACAUGUUAUCAGAGCAGGACCUUUGAAAAGUUCCCCAAUGUAGCCGAAACUUUCAUUGGCAAGUAUUUCUCUAGUAGAGGGAAUCGAGAGCGGAACCCAACUCUAAGUCAAACCUCCACUCCAGAGCAAACUGAGAAUGCGGAGACGCAGUAGAAAAUGUCUAUUUCCUGGGCAAGUGUCAUUUUGAGAUUCUCAUGUAAUUAGCUGUAAACAUUCUGCUCCUCUGUUUUUUGAUUUGUAUAUAUUAGGCAGUUGUUAGCAGCUCCUGACAAACUCAGUUUGUUUUCUUUUUUCUUUUUCUGGGUUUGAUCUUAGAGCAUUUUAGUUAACCUGUUGGUAACUACUGGAUGCUGUUAAACUAAACCCUUAAUUGGGAGAUAUUGCAGGUAAAAAAUCAAUUGUCGAUGAAAUGCAGAAGUGUUACCAAUAUCAUUCAUCAAUGGCUUCUAUUUCUUUAUUAAUCAUUUUGGUACUGAGACUUGCUGCCUCUCUGAUGACAGCUCAAUUAGGCCUUCAUCAUUGCUCAUGGUUCAUGGUUUUGGGUUUAUCUGUGAAGUGAUUAGCUGCUGCUUCUGUGUGCUGGAAGGGAAAUGUUUUGCUGAUUAGCAAAGCAGCUCUCAUACUGCCAAUCACACUUCUGAUUUGGAAAUUUUAUUUUUGUUUCUAUUUUUCUGAUAAGGAAUUGAUGAUACUGGGCCAUGAUAAAUAGCUGUGCAAAUGAACAUGAAGAACUUGGUUCAUUAUACAGAGUUAAAAAGAGUCUAAUGCACCCUAGUAAAUACUUGAGCUCAGGUUCAGAUAGAUUACAAAAGUGAGUUGAAUCCAAUCAAUCAUUUCUUGAACAAUCAGUACAAGAAAUACUCACAUUAGAUUAGUCAUAGGCCAAUAUCUACCAUUAGUUUCAUUAAAAUGAAGGAAACCCUUACAAUUUCAUGCAUAUUGGUUGUCAAUCUUCAAUUCACUUGGUAUAUCUUAAAAAAUAUUUGCAGGAAAGUUAUUGAUGUCUAUAUUUAUUCCUGCGCAAAUCACUGUUUGCAGGAGUAUAGGUAAAAUUGUAGAUUUUGACAAUAUUAUUAUUUAUUUCUUUAACAUUUUAUUUAAUUGGUGCAUGACAAAUCGAAUUCUUAUUUGUGGUUUUUCCUUAAUUUCAAUUUGUCCAUGUAGUUUCAAUUAAGUCGUAGUUUUGUUGCUUGUUUCAAUUAAGUCCCUUAUACGUGCACUGCAUGUGCCAUAUUAUUAAACAUUGUAUAUUUAAGGGCAAGGUCGUCAUUUAAUGUGAAAUAAUUUCGUCUUUUUCUUCUUGUUAGGACUUGUAGUUUGCCUAUUAAAAAUAAAAAUGAAAAAUGAUUGCAAGUGGCUUGUAAUUCAAGUGGUUAAAAGUAUUUAUCUCUUCACUUGAGGUCUUAGGUUCAAUUCCCUCCUCUAUCAAUAUCGCUUGUAAAAAAAUUAAAAAUUAAAAAGGUUAACGAUGCACAUGCAACAUAUAUUGUUUAAAGUGCUAUAGAGGUUCGAAUAUAAGACCAUAGGUUUGCAAGUCAAUGUCAUUUUUCACUAGGCUAUAUGUUGCAUGGACACUCAAGAUACUCUCCAAACACGGAUCAACUCAUACUUAAGAUCAGUUAAUGUGUUAAUUCAAUUAUAAUUCAUAAGAAAUUAAUAAACUACAUUUGAAAGACUUGGAAAGCUUGAACUUCACUAUAUAUAAUUGUGAAAUUGAAGUAUUAACAUCAAUAUUUUGUUUUUCAAUUAAAUAAUUAUUUUUUAUUGUCGUGUUCUAGUUUUUUGAGAUUUUUCGUUUUCCCGUAUCCCUAUAUUCCCGUGUCACAUAUCCGUGUCGCCGUGCUGGUGUCCCUACAACACCUAUACUCCUUUGGCUUUAGCUCAGGAUUUUAUUUCUAACAAAAUUUAACAAUAAAUACCUGAUUGAAAAUAUUAUGCGACGACUAUGCUGCUAGUUUUUUGGAUGAGAAAUUUCCACUCUUAUUAGGGGAAGAUCCGCUCUUUUAGCCCACUUUUUUAGACAUCUAUUAGACUGUAGGGCACCAAUGGAGUGGUUUAACACUUAGUAAAUUUAGGUUUGUAAAUUUAGGUUUUAGUCACAAAACCAAAAUUCUGGAAAAAUAUAAAAUUAAAACCAAAAUCCAAUUUUCCUUGAAAAAUAUAAAACUAGGGAUGUGAUUUCCCCACUUCCUUUUUCUCCACUUACAGUCCCCUUUGCUUUUUAAUACUUUUUAAUCAAUUUUGUUAUUUCUCUUUUCUAUUCUACCCUUGCCCUACAUUAAUUUCUUUUUACUUCACUUUUAAUUAGUUCUAAUUAAGUGUAAAGAAAAAGAACUAAUAUAAAAGUGAAGUAAAAAGAAAUUAAUGUAUGGCAAUGGUAGAAUAGGAAAGAGAAAGAACAAAAUUGAUUAAAAAGUAUUAAAAAGCAAGAAAGAGUGUAAGUGAAAAAAAGAGAGUGGGAAAAUCAAAUCCCUAAAACUAAAACCAAAAUCCAAUUUUCCUCAAUAAAAAAAACCCCCAUUAUCCAUUUCUUUUUCUCGUGAAGCAAAUACAAUAAUAUAUUAUCAGUCACCCCCGUCUUGAUGUUUUACUGCUUUAAAGUACUUUGAGUCUGAUUGAUCCACAAGAUCAGCUACCAGUCCACUGAUAUGUGGUGGAAGUGAUCGGUUUACUACUAAGAAUCAGCCAUGGCUUCUUCUUUACCGGGUCAACUCGUUUUUCUCUUAGAGAAUGGACAUCAUGUGUGGGAGGACCAAUCUCUCAUCAAGUGGAGGAAGAGAGAUGCACAUGUCCCUUUACGUUGCCAUGAUUCAAUUGAAGGUGAGGAACUAAAACCAUUCCAAUUUCAGUUUCGUAUUUGGAUUAAGAGUGUUUUCAUGUUGCUGGAAGUUUUGCUUUGUUUCACGUUGUCUUGUUAAAUUUUGGUUAAUGGAGUUUUUUGUUGCUGGAAUUUUGUAAAUGUUUGGGAUAUAACUGUUAAGUCUGUUUGAUUCAGAAUCACAUUCAAUCUUCAGAUGAAGAGUUCUAUGAAGUGGGUUUAUGAUCGUGAAUAAGGGGAUUUCAUGUGAUAAAAAUAAUAUGAAGUACUCAUGUAAUGCUAGUAUAUUAUAAAUGCAUUUAGCUAUUUUCUUUAUUAUAAAUUUCAGGUUCUACAUGCAAUAUUUAUUGGAAAUGAUUUAGCCAUGUCAUUUAGAUGUUUCGACUUUGCAAAUUAUACAAACACACAUUGAGUAUGUAUAAUAAUUAUGUAUAAGCAAGCUCAUCGAUUGGCCUGACACAUUUUGAAUUUUUGUUGGAGUUUUGUUGCAUUGGUUUUUGGUAAAAAAUCAUUUUCUCAAAUAUGAAGAGUGAAUAGGGAAACAUGGUAUGCAGUUGUGAAUAUGUGUAGAAUCUGACAUUGUUCAGAAACUGCAUCAUGGUAUGGUAUAUGAGCUUGAGCUUGACGUUGCAUCUUGCCAUCAAGAUGAGCUUUUGGUAUAGGAACAUGGGACAGGAAUCUUGUACCUAUUCCCAAGCCUUGAAAUCACGAAACAUGGUCUACGUUAUAGGCACAUAGAGGGAUUCUAAUUGGUAUAAUGGUUUGGGUCCAUGAUGCAGAACCCCCCCUCUCUAAGUUCUGUGUGUUAUUUUAUCUUAUCAUUGGCUUGGAAUCUUACUUCUUUUCUAUUUCUUUUAGAAGAUAUCUGAUGUUCGUUAUGUGAUGUAGGAUCUCUUAAAUACUGGUAUGAGCGCAACAAAGUGAAUUUUCUGGUAUCCAACUCUGCUGUUUGGGAUGAUGAUGCUGUUCCUGGAGCUCUUGAUAGCGCAGCCCUUUGGGUCAAGGACUUGCCUUUUGUGAAGUCUUUGUCAGGCUAUUGGAAAUUCUUCUUGGCUUCGAGUCCUAGAAAUGUUCCUGUAAAUUUUUAUGACACUGCAUUUCAGGAUUCUGAGUGGGAAACCUUACCAGGUAAGCAUAUAUGUAUCUUUCACUUUUUCUUGCCUUAAAAUCUGACAAUCUACACAUAUAUUUGGUAUGCUGUGUUAGAAUAUAGCAGUGAUAGUUGUUUCAUAAAAUCAUUAAUGAAAUUUGUUUCAUUGCAAAAUAUGUAUCUAUUCCUGCAUGCCAGAAACUUAUUGCAUCGUUUUACUUCAACUACGAGUUUUCUCUGCGCUGUUUCUUUAUAUAUUCUUAUUUGCAACAGUGUAGUAUUGCAUUCGAGGUAAUUUUAUGGCUAAGUGAGAGAAUUUUGAAGGCAUGUUUAGUAACGUGUAUGAAAUGUUUGGGUUAUAAUGAGGGGAAUUUUUUAUUUUUUAUUUUUAGUUUUUUCUGUAUUUCAGUUAGCUUAUGUAAGUGUCAGCUUCACAUGAGAGUUGGGGUCCAAUCUUAACUUAGCUUCAAGGAAAGGAAAGGAAAAACUUCCAUUUUAUUGCUUGUUGGCUACUGGUUUUUCUCAUAGCGGAUUUUCGCUAUCAUAAAUCGGCCUUUCAUUUUACUAUUCGUUUUCUUUAAAGAGAGACACACAUAUGCGUUAGCGAAACUGUUCAGUAAGUGCCACGCACAAAUAAGUCAGUUCUUUCCAGAUAAUAAAUUGUGCUUUGAACUAUAGGCGCUAACUGAAGCUUGUAUGAUUGUGAAAAUUCUUUUCUAAGUGCUUGUACUAUGAUUUCAUGAUUCCAUAUUUAUUUUAUUUUAUUUUCCUCCAAAAUAGACAAUUUAAGAAUACUUUGAUAACCUUAUUCCUUGUAGUGUUUUGAGCUUUAGCAAUAGCAUAUCGAACAAAUUUAUGAAUGAUUUAUGUUAUAAAUUUAUCAUGAUUUUUCAUAUCUAACACAUGCAAUUAUUAUCCAACAACCGUGUCUCAUUAUUUUGUGUUCUCUCAUGGAACAGUUCCUUCAAACUGGCAGAUGCAUGGAUUUGAUCGGCCUAUUUAUACAAACGUUGUUUAUCCAUUUCCACUUGAUCCACCUUUUGUUCCUGUGGACAACCCUACUGGCUGCUAUAGGACAUACUUUCACAUUCCUAAAGAAUGGAAGGGUAUGAUCCAUUUGAUUGCCUUGCUGAUUGUAGCUGAUUACUAUUUAUUGGUGCUUUUUUAUUCUUUUGUUUUUAUUUUUCUUUGUUGUUCCCUUUUACAUUAUGCUUACUGAUCAGUAUUCUAUCAAACCUGUGCUACUUAUAUCUUGUAUGCAUCGAAGUAAGUUUUAUUUUCCACUUUGUAAUGUAGCCAUUUUGAAAUGUAAUAUAUAGAGCAAUAUGACCUGAAUUUGUGUUAAUGAUUUGAAAUGUGACUAAUAGAAGUAUUGCCUCACAGAUUGGAUUUUCUGCUGUAUGUACAUAUGAAUGCAUGCAUGCACCUAUAUUACAGUCACAGACACACACACACAAAAAUGACAUUUCCAUGACAUCCCUCAACUCUGUUGAUCAUUCUUUCUGUGGGCAAAUUUAUAUGACAUGUUUACCAUUUGACAGGUCGCAGGAUUUUGUUGCAUUUUGAAGCUGUUGAUUCUGCAUUCUGUGCAUGGCUAAAUGGGGUCCCGAUAGGAUAUAGGUAAUAAAUACUUGUAAGAACUUUUGUGAAUUAUCAUAAUUAUCCUGUAGGUGGAUGCUGUUAUGCUAUACCUUAUGUCAUACUUCCAUUCAUGGAGUCUUCUCAGCGUGUGUUACUGUUUUCUGAACAUAUGCAUUUUACAUGGAAUUUAUCUCAGUCAGGUAUAUGUUGACAGAUUAAGAUUGCGCACAUUUGUGAAUAAGAGAUACGGAGAGUGAGUUUAAGAUGCUCAUGGAGGAUCUUCUUUCGCAAUCUACUAUUUUUCACUUUUCUCUUUCGCAACAUACAAAUUAAAAGUUAAAUAUAAAAUGCAAAAAGAGAGAGUAACCCACAUGGAAUAUAAAGAACAUAAAGUCCCCAACUCUUAAAGCUGAGUAUGGAUACUGUUUUGAUGCUGAUAAAUAAUUUAUCAAGUAAAUACAAUAAUGUAUAUUGUGCUGAGAGUCUUUUGCUACCAUAUGGUUUAGCAAGAAAAGGGGCAUUAAAUUGUUAAUAACUUAAAAAUGAAGCAUGGUGAGUAUGACCUGACUCAGUUAUACUAAUUACCAAUCUUUGAACAUAGCUUUCUUUUUUUUUUUCUUUCCCUUUUUUCUGUUAAUGUAUUGUUUAUCAUACCAAGAAUAUGUAUUAGCCUUGAAAGGAACUUUCUUUAAUAAAUGGUCCAGCCACUGAAUGAUCUGACUUAAAUAUUUUGUUUCUUUUUGGUGGUGGGGAAAUUCUUGGGAAGUUUCAAUUUGAAUUAUUUGAUGGUUGUUUAAUCAGUUAGGAAUUCGGAUGUUAGUAGAGUCUUGUUUACUUUUUCACAAGUAGAAAAUGAAUCCUAAGCAUUUGAGAUGGUCAUAUGUGCACUUGUCGGUUUUGUAACCUGUAUCACCAAGUACAUACAACUAUAUCAAAUUGAAGAUUGUUUUCCGCUUAUAAGGGAUGCAUGGUUUGGUAGGAAUCCCCUGGGAGGUACGUUAACAAACUUUUCAAUAUCGUGCUAGGUCAGUCAGGACAGUAGACUUCCUGCUGAAUUUGAAAUCACUGAUUAUUGUUAUCCAUCUGAUAUGGACAAGAAAAAUGUACUAGCUGUUCAAGUAUUCAGAUGGAGUGAUGGCUCCUACCUUGAAGAUCAAGAUCAUUGGUGGUUAUCUGGCAUUCAUCGUGACGUGCUUCUUCUUUCCAAGCCACAGGUCUUUAUUGUCUUCUUUCUUGCCUUUAUAUCCUCUCUUUUAAUUACAAUUGGACUAUAUGCAAUUGGUACUUCUUGGGACUGGGGACAAGCAUGUAUACAUUGAUGAUUUGCAUGGCUACUUUUCUAUCAUAAGAUCACUCCAUCUCUUUGCAAGUCAUUAUUGUUCUUUCUUUCCCAUUUUGAAAAAUCGACACAUUGGAGGCAAAGAAUUAGGACAGUUAAUGCUAUAAUGUGUGUAUGGAAAUAUGACCUAGUUCUUCAAUGUUCUAAGCCAUAUUUUAUUUUGAUUACACAUAUAGAUUAUCUAAAUUAUUUCCUUAUUCUUUAACGUAAACUGGUAACGUGCUGCUACCUGUACUGGAGCAUUGCAUAAUAUUAAAUCCUAAAAAAUAACUGAUGUGCAGGUAUUCAUUGCAGACUACUUUUUCAAAUCAACUCUGGCUGAGGAUUUUUCUUAUGCAGACAUACAGGCAAGUAUUUAUCAAUCGAGGAUGGAUCUUUUUGUUUUUACAAAGUAAUAAGUAUAAACAAUAUUUUGCAGUUUUGUCUAGAUGGUUGACCUCUUGCACAUAACUGGACAAUAAUUUGUAACCCAUUGAAUCAUAUGAUAAACUCCAAAAACAAUAAAGGAUACAGGAAAUGUCUUAUGUGCUUAGGUUAGAGAAAUUCCUGUCUUGUAAUGGUUUUUAUUCGUACUAUCUGAUUAUAUGUGCAUGUGCUCACUUUUUUUCUCCUUUUGAGUAUCGCAGUGUCUGUUAAUGUAGACUGUCAUUGAUUUAUCAGUCAAGAUUUUGGAAUCUACCCUUAUAUCAAUGUGCAAUAUGAUGGGAUUAUGUUAUCUUCUCAGUGCUAUUGCUCUACAUUGAAAACAUUUUAAAAUAUUGUUGUCUUGCACUUUUGACCAGGUUGAAGUGAAAAUAGAUAACUCCAGAGAAACAUCUAAAGAUAGCGUUCUUGCAAACUAUGUUAUAGAAGCUGCAUUAUUUGACACUGCGUGCUGGUACAGCAUUGAUAGAUAUGCUGACCUGCACUUGUCUAAUGUGGCUAGUAUAAAGCUUAAUCUCUCAUCCAGCACAAGUCUCGGGUUUCAUGGUUAUUUGCUGGUAGGGAGACUGGACAUGCCGAGGCUUUGGUCUGCAGAGCAAGUGAGGAAUUAUUAUUUUUUGUUUCUUCCUAGUUUGUUCCUACGCUAAAACCCUUUUAAGCAAUAUAUACUUUCUUGCUUAGUGAUAUUCUCAACUUUGUUGAGUCAUUGGAGUUACCCAAAAUGUCUGUCAAGUGCUCGAAGUACCCUGGCACUGGGAAUAUUUUAGGGUGCUGCACCGUUUAACCUAAUGUGUAUGUUUGUGUGUGCUGCACCGUUUUGUUUAUAUAACUUAGUUUGCUUUUCCCUUCUAGACAUGUGGGAAAAAUUGGUCAACUGUAAAUAUCAUAUCUUGCUAAAUUAUAACAGUCUAAGAGUAAUUAGAUUUUUCUCAUUCAUAUGACUCCAGAGUUUGUGAAAAUUUCUUUUUAACUUAAAUUUAAUUCCUUAAAAGACCAUGGUCGAGUCUUCUUUCUACCUUGAGCUUCAAUGGGGUGAUAUUGUGAAUACUACGUAGGUGACUAGAAACUUUCCCCCUUACCUAAGCAUUAGCUAGCAUUAAGGGUUAGUCAAGUCAUGUUGAAAGUAUGGCUUUGGUACUUUCUUGCUCCAUAUAAGCAUAAAGUAGAUGGAGGGCUCAAACAUAAUAGUAAGAAAAGAAGUUUUGAGAAAAACAAAAAAUAUACAUUAGAUAAUUCAUGAUAUGAAACUAAAAGUUUUGUGGCCCCAAUAACAAGAAGUAUCUAAAACCUUGCAUUGUACAUUUGGUGGUGUUUUUUUUUUUUCUUUUUCCUUCUUAUGGGCAAAGCUAAAGUAUUGUACAUUAUCUUGGGAAAAGAAUAUUAAAGUAUUCAAUCAUAUGGUUUAUUAUCACUAUGUAACACAGUGUUCUCGGUUAUUAAUGAGAUGUUUUUAUCUUCUCAUCUUUCAUAUAAGAUCAAACAGUUUCUUGAUGAAGAUAGAAGGAAAGACAAUAAGUUCUCUGAAGAAUUUCAGGAACAUUUUUUCAGCAGAAAAUUCAAAAUUUUCUAGGAAAAUUCUGCAAAAUUUUCUGCUGUUUGGUGGAUUUAGAGAAGUACUUUCGAGAGAAUAUUUUCUUCAUUUAGCAGCAAACUUUGUGUCUUUUAAUACCAUUUCCUUGAGCAACUUGAAAAUGUAAUGCUUUUGGUGAUUGCUUUACUAAUGUUAAAUUAUAUGAAUCUAGGGUUUAAAUUUAUCUGCUCUCAUUCCACUUCUUUAUUAUGCCUGUUCUUCAAAGGGAAAAUAUGAUGAUUAAAAAGGGAAAGCGCAAUGGUGGGGAAGAGUGGAAGUGGUACAAUUCACUUGUUCGAAAAAAAAAAAAAAAAUUAUGACCAGAUUUUAGAGAUUCAAUAAGAAAUAAAGAUUGCAGGCUAUCUAUUUAAUGUUGUUGACUGAUGAUUCGUUUCCCAGAGUUUAUGUUACAGUAUUUGCUUUUGAACUCUUUUCCUGUGUCCAACAUACAUAUUUCAUAACUGAUUGUUUACUGUGUGCAGCCAAGCCUGUACACUCUUGCUGUUACAUUGAAAGAUGCAUCUGGCAACCUUCUGGACUGUGAAUCAAGCCUGGUAGGCAUACGGCAAGUAUCAAAAGCCCCCAAACAGCUGCUUGUUAAUGGGCAUCCAAUAAUAAUAAGGGGUGUGAACAGGCAUGAGCAUCAUCCACGUCUGGGGAAGACAAACAUAGAAUCCUGCAUGGUUAAGGUAACACAUACUUUACUUCUCCUUGUCUGUUCUCUGCUAGCCAAGUUGAUUUGCAACUGGAGUUGAUGGUUCUUGGAAUUUUAAUCACUAUUUACUGUGUACAGGAUUUGGUUUUAAUGAAGCAAUACAAUAUCAAUGCUGUGAGAAACAGUCAUUAUCCCCAACAUCCUCGUUGGUACGAGCUCUGUGAUUUGUUUGGCAUGUACAUGAUAGAUGAAGCCAAUAUUGAAACCCAUGGUUUUGAUCUUUCUGGGCAUGUGAAGCAUCCUACUUUGGAACCCAGCUGGGCUACUGCAAUGAUGGACCGUGUGAUAGGCAUGGUUGAGAGAGACAAAAAUCAUGCUUGCAUUAUCUCUUGGUCCUUAGGGAAUGAAGCUGGAUAUGGACCUAAUCAUUCUGCUUUAGCUGGUAAACCGCUGUUCUUUUAUCAUAUCCAUAUUUUUGUCCAGCUUUGAAGGAACUUUUAGAAAAUGUUAUUACUUUGUACUUGUUCGAGAAUUAUUGCCUCACCUCGACAUAUUUCUCCUAGAAGAUAUAUUCAUUUUACAGAAGUAGACAAUGGGGAUCAUUUUGUGGCUUUAGUAAGUUACCUUGAAAUGAUGGUGAUGGAUUUGGGUUCAAAAUUUCGAAAAUAAGGAAGUGAUGGUCAGAACUGGCGUUCAUCUGGGAAUGGGCCUUACUUUAGGGAAAGUGAAUAUUUUCGAAAGAAAGAAGCAUGCACUCUAAUUUUGAGUAAUUGAUAUAUAAUUUAUUAUACUAAAGUUGAGUAAGUAAGUUAACAUCACCUUUUUCUAUAAUUUGGGCAAUAUCUAUCUUUGUAUUUUAUUUUUCAUUUUUAAAAAUGUUAGUGUUUCUUAUGAAAAAUAAUUAUUAUUAUUAUGAUCACCCUCAAAAUUUUGAACAGUAUAAUUGAAGUUGCGUGUAAGGCAUCUCUUCCCAACCCCAACCCCCCCCCCCCCCCCCGGUUUCAUAUCACUCAUUGUUUUCAAGACCUUGUUCACCUGAAUUUUAGGCUGGGUUCGUGGAAAGGAUCCCUCACGGCUGGUACAUUACGAAGGAGGUGGAUCCAGAACCUCAUCCACAGAUAUUAUAUGUCCCAUGUAUAUGCGGGUCUGGGACAUGUUGCAGAUUUCGAGAGAUCCAAAUGAAACACGCCCUUUGAUUUUGUGCGAGUAUGUAUAUUUUUUUUACUUUUCCCUUUUUAUUGUUGUUUGAGCAUAGUUUGUUGGUUUACCAUUAUUCCCAAUGUUUGAAGAUGAGUCAAAUGUUAUUUAUAUUCUGGCACUUCUCACCUUUGGGCCCCUCCACCAAUAGAGUCCAACAUGCGAAAUUCAACUUAUAUAGAGAGGUUGCAACCAAUCCAAAAAAAAAAAAAAAAAAAAAGGAGGUUGCAGUUUUUGCUCUACACCUUUAUCAGGAUCUCUUGCUCUAAUACCAUGCAAAAGUUUGUUGCUUUACCACUGCUCCCAAAUUCUUAAGCUAUUAGAAUUUGGGCCAAAUGUAUUCUAACCUGCUAAUUUAUUUUGUAAAGUUAUACAAGAUACCUCUGUUUAUGCUCAUGGCAAUGCAAAUUUCUUCGCUUAAAAGUUUGAGAAAAUAAUGGCAGGUAUUCACAUGCAAUGGGAAACAGCAAUGGGAAUUUACAUGAAUAUUGGGAAGUAAUUGAUAGCACAUUUGGUCUUCAAGGAGGCUUUAUCUGGGAUUGGGUUGAUCAGGUCAAGUAUCCUUGCUGUUCAUAAGAAAUGCACUGAUGAUUUAUCAACAUUACAUUAAAUAUUGAGUUUCAAGCCAUCUUACACUCUUGAAACCCCUUUACUUUAAUUUAUUGGGCAUAACCACAUAACAUCAACAUAAAAUUGAAACUGGUAAAUAUCAUCAUCAUUUUCUUCUUCUUAUCCCCCAACCACCAACCACCAACCACCAACCCCUAACCUCUCUCUCUCUCUCUCUCUCUCUCUCUCUCUCUCUCUCUCUCCACGAAAUCUUUGUUGUUCAGAACCACAAAUUACAUCAGGGGGUAAUAGAUUUUCUCUUUGUAUAUAGGCCCUAUUGAAGGAUAAUGCAGAUGGUAGUAAGCAUUGGGCAUAUGGGGGUGACUUUGGUGAUGUUCCUAAUGAUUUAAACUUCUGUUUGAAUGGCCUUACAUGGCCAGAUCGAACUCCUCAUCCAGCACUGCAUGGUAAGUUGAUGAUUUAUGUUAUACUUACAAGUACCUCUGUCCUUUUAGUUCUUUAAGAUAAUAUUUGUAUGUUAUUUUUUAAUUUAUUUUCAUGUCUCUUUUCUUCGGUUAUUGUUUUCAGAAGUCAAGUAUGUGUACCAACCAAUCAAGGUUUCAUUUAGCAAAGAAACACUAAGGGUAAGUUCACAUAGUAUUUGCUUUCAUUUAAUUUUAUUAUUUUCCGGAAUACUUCUUUACCUGAAAUACACCUUGCAGAUAACAAAUACCCACUUUUAUAAAACAACACAAGGAUUGGAGUUCAGCUGGGAUGUUCAUGGGGAUGGAUGCAAACUUGGAUCCGGAAUUCUACCUUUUCCGUUGAUUGAACCUCAGAAGAGUUAUGAUAUUAAGUGGCGGUCAGCUUUGUGGUAUCCUCUAUGGACUUCAUCAUCUGCAGAGGAAUAUUUUUUAACAAUAACAGCUAAGCUUUUGCGUUCCACACGCUGGGUUGAAGCUGGUCAUGUUAUCUCAUCUACCCAAGUCCAGUUGCCUUCCAAAAGAGAAAUUGUUCCUCACGUAGUUGCUUUUGCUUACUACCCACUUUGACAAUAAGAAUGAAGUUUACAUGUUUUGUCAUAUAAAAACAUUUUUACAAUUGGCCUUGAUUUCCAGGUCAUCAAGACUGAAGAUGCUGUGUUCGUCAGUGAAACUCUUGGGGAUAAAAUUAGAGUCAGCCGACAUAGCUUUUGGGAGAUCAUAUUUAGUGUUCAAACAGGAACAGUUGACAGCUGGACGGUAUUUUACACCAUUGUUAUUUUCAUUUUUUUUGUUGAUAACACAUUUUUCUUUAUAAAACCAAAGUUAUUUUAAGAAUGAUUUCCCUCCAGGUUUUAUGAUUGUAGUUGCCUGGUUAUUGUUCUAUUUUCUGUUGGGAUAAGCAUUGUAUGAUUUUUCUUUUUUGUUCCUAAGGAUGUUCCGUCUCAUGUAGAUUGAGGGUUGCGUAUUUGUUGACCCGAACCUCUUUGAUUGUACUUCUCAAUUUCAUUAAUACUCAUUCUGUUUCCUAUUUAAAAAAAUGGUAGGUCGAAGGAGUUCCUUUGAUGACGAAAGGCAUAUUUCCAUGCUUCUGGCGAGCACCAACAGAUAAUGACAAAGGAGGAGGUGCGAGUAGUUAUUUCUCCUUAUGGAAAGCUGCUCAUAUUGAUAACCUUCAUUAUAUUACCCAAAGCUGUUCUAUACAGAAUAAGACGGACCAUCUUGUGAAAAUAGCUGUGGCUUUUCAUGGUGUUCCAAAGGAGGAGGGUGCUUUAUACAAGGGGAAAAAGAUAAAAAUUGAAGUUGAUGUGAUUUACACAAUUUACGGUUCAGGAGACGUUGUUGUUGAAUGUAAUGUAAGACCAAGUUCGAACCUUCGACUUCUGCCACGUGUGGGAGUUGAGUUCCAUUUGGAUAAGUCAAUGGAUCAGAUUAAGUGGUAUGGAAGAGGACCAUUUGAAUGUUAUCCAGACAGAAAAGCAGCUGCUCAUGUUGCGGUCUAUGAGCAGAAAGUGGAAGACAUGCAUGUCCCUUAUAUAGUUCCUGGGGAAUGUUCAGGUAGGGCAGAUGUUAGAUGGGUGACAUUCCAAAACAAGGAUGGUUUCGGAAUAUAUGCAUCAGUGUAUGGCAGCUCUACGCCUAUGCAAAUAAAUGCAAGUUACUACACCACAGCUGAGCUUGAUCGGGCAACGCAUAAUGAAGAUCUUAUCAAAGGAGAUGACAUUGAGGUAAUUUCUUCUACAUCAUCAAUCCAUAUCUUUCAUUUCAGAACCAGUAGAUUGUUUCUGGACAUCCAUUACGAGUAAUAUACAGAGGAUGGUUUAUGGUUUAGGGUCUAGGGUUUAUGGUUUACUGUGUUACAGGUUCAUCUUGAUCACAAGCACAUGGGCCUGGGUGGGGAUGAUAGUUGGUCGCCCUGCGUCCACGACAAGUAUCUGGUUCAUGCUGUUCCAUACUCAUUUUCAAUUAGGCUGUGCCCGAUAACCCCUGCAACCUCUGGCCAAGCCGUGUACAAAACUCAACUUCAAAACUAGUAGGCAUGAUGGGCUCAAGAACUUGGUAAUGAGUACCGAGUGAUUGACAAUGUAUGUGGCCAUGAAAUAAGAUGUCUAGCUCAUUUGCAACGAAUAAUAUAAGGGCAAA